rnacentral:rRNA from 1 species
ACAGCCAUACCACCCUGGAUGUGCCUGAUCUUGUCUGACCUCGAAAGCUAAGCAGUGUUGGGCCUGGUUAGUACUUGGGAGUAUGUUCCUGUCUUUGCUAACCAAAAAAAAUUCGAGAAGUGUU